AUUGAACGCUGGCGGCAUGCCUUACACAUGCAAGUCGAACGGCAGCACGGACUUCGGUCUGGUGGCGAGUGGCGAACGGGUGAGUAAUAUAUCGGAACGUACCUUUCAGUGGGGGAUAACGUAGCGAAAGUUACGCUAAUACCGCAUAUUCUGUGAGCAGGAAAGCAGGGGAUCGCAAGACCUUGCGCUGAUUGAGCGGCCGAUAUCAGAUUAGCUAGUUGGUGAGGUAAAGGCUCACCGAGGCGACGAUCUGUAGCGGGUCUGAGAGGAUGAUCCGCCACACUGGAACUGAGACACGGUCCAGACUCCUACGGGAGGCAGCAGUGGGGAAUUUUGGACAAUGGGGGCAACCCUGAUCCAGCCAUGCCGCGUGAGUGAAGAAGGCCUUCGGGUUGUAAAGCUCUUUCGGCCGGGAAGAAAUCGUGUGGGCUAAUACCCCAUAUGGAUGACGGUACCGGAAUAAGAAGCACCGGCUAACUACGUGCCAGCCGCCGCGGUAAGAC
rnacentral:rRNA from 1 species